rnacentral:rRNA from 1 species
AACGAACGCUGGCGGCAUGCCUAACACAUGCAAGUCGAACGAGACCUUCGGGUCUAGUGGCGCACGGGUGCGUAACGCGAGGGAACCUGCCCUUAUGUUUGGAAUAACUACCCGAAAGGGGUGCUAAUACCGGAUAAUGUCUUCGGACCAAAGAUUUAUCGCGUUUGGUUGGGCCCGCGUUGGAUUAGCUAGUUGGGAGGGUAAUAGCCUAACAAGGCGACGAUCCAUAGCUGGUCUGAGAGGAUGAUCAGCCACACUGGGACUGAGACACGGCCCAGACUCCUACGGGAGGCAGGAGUGGGGAAUAUUGCAAAAUGGGCGGAAGCCUGAUCCAGCAAUGCCGCGUGAGUGAUGAAGGCCUUAGGGUUGUAAAGCUCUUUUACCCGGGAUGAUAAUGACAGUACCGGGAGAAUAAGCUCCGGCUAACUCCGUG